AGAGCGAACGCUGGCGGCAGGCUUAACACAUGCAAGUCGAGCGGAUGUAGCAAUACAUCAGCGGCAGACGGGUGAGUAACACGUGGGAACGUACCUUUUGGUUCGGAACAACACAGGGAAACUUGUGCUAAUACCGGAUAAGCCCUUACGGGGAAAGAUUUAUCGCCGAAAGAUCGGCCCGCGUCUGAUUAGCUAGUUGGUGAGGUAAUGGCUCACCAAGGCGACGAUCAGUAGCUGGUCUGAGAGGAUGAUCAGCCACACUGGGAUUGAGAACGGCCCAGACUCCUACGGGGGGCAGCAGUGAGGAAUCUUCGUCAAUGGGCGCAAGCCUGAACGAGCAACGCCGCGUGUGGGAAGACGGCCUUCGGGUUGUAAAGCCCUUUUCUCUAGGGAAGAUGAUGACGGUACCUGAGGAAGAAGCACCGGCUAACUACGUGCCAGCAGCCGC
rnacentral:rRNA from 1 species